GAUGAACGCUGGCGGCAGGCCUAAUACAUGCAAGUCGAGCGGAUAGAGGAGGAUUGUGCUCCGCUGACGUUAGCGACGGGCGGGUGAGGAACACGUGGCUAACCGGCCGAGAAGGAUGGGGUAACGUAGCGAGACCGAAGCUAGUACAGGAUAAUAUAUUGAAACGCAAGGUUCAAUAGUCAAAGACGGUUUAGCUGACACUUAGAGGUGGAUCCGCGUCGCAUUAGCUAGUUGGUAAGGUAACGGCGUACCGAGGCAACGAUGCGUAGCCGACCUGAGAGGGUGAUCAGGCACACUGGAACUGAGACACGGUCCAGACUCCUACGGGAGGCAGCAGUAGGGAAUCUUCCGCGAUGGGCGAAAGCCUGACGGAGCAACGCCGCGUGAGUGAUGAAGGUCUUCGGAUCGUAAAGCUCUUUAAUUAGGGAAGAAGAAAUGUGUAUGUAACUAUGCACGUCUUGACGAUACCUAAUCAGAAAGCCCCGGCUAACUUCGUG
rnacentral:rRNA from 1 species